AGAAUCAACGCUGGCGGCGUGCCUAACACAUGCAAGUCGAACGCGAAGACCCAGCAAUGGGUUUGUAGCGUGGCAAACGGGUGAGUAACGCGUGGGCGACCUACCUUCGAGCGGGGGAUAACCUUCCGAAAGGGAGGCUAAUACCGCAUGACAUCCCGUGUUUGGAUACACGGAGAUCAAAGCCGGGGAUCGCAAGACCUGGCACUUGAAGAGGGGCCCGCGUCCGAUUAGCUAGUUGGCGAGGUAAUGGCUCACCAAGGCUCCGAUCGGUA
rnacentral:rRNA from 1 species